AUUGAAUGGCUCAGUGAGGCCUUCGGACUGGCUCAGGGAGGUCGGCAACGACCACCCAGAGCCGGAAAGUUGGUCAAACUCGGUCAUUUAGAGGAAGUAAAAGUCGUAACAAGGUCUCCGUAGGUGAACCUGCGGAGGGAUCAUUA
rnacentral:rRNA from 2 species